GCACCCAUGGUCCAAUGGAUAUGACGUCGGCUUGCGGAGCCGGAGAUCCAGGUUCGAUUCCUGGUGGGUGUACAA
rnacentral:tRNA from 1 species